rnacentral:rRNA from 1 species
ACGGGUGAGUAAUGCCUAGGAAUCUGCCUGGUAGUGGGGGACAACGUUUCGAAAGGAACGCUAAUACCGCAUACGUCCUACGGGAGAAAGCAGGGGACCUUCGGGCCUUGCGCUAUCAGAUGAGCCUAGGUCGGAUUAGCUAGUUGGUGGGGUAAUGGCUCACCAAGGCGACGAUCCGUAACUGGUCUGAGAGGAUGAUCAGUCACACUGGAACUGAGACACGGUCCAGACUCCUACGGGAGGCAGCAGUGGGGAAUAUUGGACAAUGGGCGAAAGCCUGAUCCAGCCAUGCCGCGUGUGUGAAGAAGGUCUUCGGAUUGUAAAGCACUUUAAGUUGGGAGGAAGGGCAGUAAGUUAAUACCUUGCUGUUUUGACGUUACCGACAGAAUAAGCACCGGCUAACUCUGUGCCAGCAGCCGCGGUAAUACAGAGGGUGCAAGCGUUAAUCGGAAUUACUGGGCGUAAAGCGCGCGUAGGUGGUUCGUUAAGUUGGAUGUGAAAGCCCCGGGCUCAACCUGGGAACUGCAUCCAAAACUGGCGAGCUAGAGUACGGUAGAGGGUGG